rnacentral:rRNA from 1 species
AGUGAACGCUGGCGGCGUGCCUAAUACAUGCAAGUCGAACGAGUGGCGCACGGGUGAGUAAUAUAUAGCUAAUCUGCCCCUUGCUGGAGGACAACAGUUAGAAAUGACUGCUAAUACUCCAUAGCAAGGGAUGAGACUAUAUCGUAUCAGCUAGUCGGUGGGGUAACGGCCUACCGAGGCUAUGACGCGUAACUGGUCUGAGAGGAUGAUCAGUCACAUUGGAACUGAGAUACGGCCCAGACUCCUACGGGAGGCAGCAGUGGGGGAUAUUGCACAAUGGACGGAAGUCUGAUGCAGCGACGUCGUGUUGGGGAUGAAGGCCUUCGGGUUGUAAACUCCUUUUGUUAGGGAAGCGGUACCUAACGAAUAAGCACCGGCUAACUCCGUGCCAGCAGCCGCGGUAAUAC